rnacentral:tRNA from 1 species
GCGGAAGUGGUGAAAUUGGUAGACACGCCAGAUUUAGGUUCUGGUGCCGCAAGGUGUGCGAGUUCGAGUCUCGCCUUCCGCACCA